UGUUGGUAAAGCUUCCAAAAUAUUACCUAUCUGUUGGGAUUAUAAAUCCCCUGUCGGAAAAGUAUAAGCAUAGAAGAGUAAAUAUAAGUGGUUAGAUUGCUAAGUCAUUUUGAUGUGUAAAGAAAUCUAAUCACUUGUAUAAGCUCGAAUUAAAAAUGAAUUAAUUGUAAUUUGAUCAAUACUCUCUUCAAAUUUAAUUUGAUAACCUUGAGGAAGGAGUGUUUGAAUUAUGGAAUUAUAAAUCUCACCUAGGUAAAAUAUAAACAUAAAAAGGUAAAUAUAAGUGAAAGUACAAAUCAUGUAGCUAGUUAUUUUGAUAUGUAAAGCAAUUUAAUUCUUGAAUUAAAAAUCAAUUAAAUUGUAAUUUGACUAACACUUUCUCCGAAUUCAACAAUGACUUAUAUAGGUGUCUAGCAAAAAUUGUUUGGCUCCAUCUAGUUUGUCCAGAGCUUUAGCUUUUAUUUGAGCUUUGUCUUUCUUUUUUUGGGCGAUCAAUUUGAUUUCUUGCUGAUGGAAUGGGAUUUGUUUUAUCAUCACACAGACAAAAAAGAAGUUUCAAUCUUGACUAUAAUUUAUGUUUCAUUUCACCAUUCGCAGAUGAGGUCAUUUUAGUAUUUUUAUUAAAUCUAUGGGCUGUCCAAAGCUAGAUAAAAAUAAUCAGGAGCGAAGAACAUGCCAUUUGCUAUUUUAUUUUUCCAAUUGGCUCUCUUUAUGUGUCCAUGUUCUGUCCUAUUUAUUGCUGUACAUUAUAUUGUUACUUUUAAUCAAUUCUUUUCCUCUUCUCCAUUUUUUCUUGAACUUUCAUUCUCCUAUGAGUGCUAAACAAGGGUAGGAGUGGACAUUUUUAGAUUUCUGGAAGUGCUAUAUUUUAGCUGGCUUUGCUGGUUUUCAGCUGUGUUUUUUAUUUUAUUAUGCUUAAAUUUUCCACUGGAGUGUUUUUUCAGGUGAAUUACCUUUUGAAUAUGCAUAUCGCAGGAAAAAGUGGGAUUAGGUUCAUCUGCAGACUCUGGAAAGGGCAAGAGUAAGAUAUCAAAGAAUGUAACCCAUGGCUAUCACUUGGUGAAGGGAAAGUCACAUCAGGCCAUGGAAGAUUAUAUUGUUGCACAAUUUAAGCAAGUUGAUGACUAUGAGCUUGGGUUGUUUGCAAUAUUUGAUGGUCAUCUGAGCCAUGUUAUUCCUGAUUAUUUGCGAUUGAAUUUGUUUGACAAUAUCUUAAAAGAGCCAGACUUCUGGGCAGAGCCAGAAAAUGCCAUGAGGAAAGCAUACCAAAUAACCGAUACUACUAUUUUAGACAAAGCAGCUGAUUUGGGUAAAGGGGGUUCAACUGCUGUCACGGCAAUACUAAUCAACUGUCAGAUGUUGGUAGUAGCCAAUGUUGGUGAUUCUCGAGCUGUAAUCUGCAAGAAUGGCGUGGCCAAGCAACUGUCAGUUGAUCAUGAGCCAAGUGUAGAAAGGAAGGAUAUUGAGAAGAGAGGUGGUUUUGUAUCGAACUUCCCAGGUAAGAACUUCACCAAGAUAAAGGGAAACAUUUCUGAGUGUUUGACUCCCAAAUAAACAUGAUUAUUAUGCCAUUGUAAAUGAACCAAAUCAGAUUGUUAGCAUCAUUAGCACUUUUCAAUGUGCCUCUUUGAUCCUAGUAGUUGCUACACACAAUGCACAUUGGAAUAUAGAGAAAUGCCUUGCACUUGAUGAUGAUUGUCUUUAACAGUAGAACAGAUACUAUAGAAUGAUAAAAUAUGUGUUGAAUUGUUAUGCUUUUUGUUGUUCAAUGGUUGCAACUAGCUGGGGUUAGUUAUCUUUUUGGUAUUCGAUUUGAAAAUGAUCUAUGCACUUAUAGCAAACUGUUGAAGCCCUUUAUUCUGAGUAAUACUAACCAUACUUGCAUGGUUGCACCCUUUUCUUUGGUGUUCUUUUAUUUAUUCACUAUUUACUUAUUUCUCUCAUGGUUGUGACUUUGGAUACUAUAAAUUGUCAACCAUGUGAUUGGUUGUUUCCUUUGUGGUUUCUCCUAUUUUUGGUUGGCUAGUGGUAAGAUAUAAAAUUUAUGAAUUCAGGGGAUGUUCCACGUGUUGAUGGGCAAUUGGCAGUGGCAAGGGCAUUUGGUGACAAGAGCUUGAAAGAACAUCUCAGCUCAGAGCCGGAUGUUGCGAAGGAAGUGAUUGAUGAUGAUACAGAUUUUAUUAUCUUAGCUAGUGAUGGGUUGUGGAAGGUGAUGUCAAACCAGGAAGCAGCAGAUGCUAUUAAGAACAUAAAGGAUGCUCGUUCUGCAGCAAAACACCUUGCUGAAGAGGCACUUAAUAGGAAGAGCAAAGAUGACAUUUCCUGCAUAGUUGUAAAAUUUCAGUGAUCUCUGGAUUCCUGUUGGAUUUUUGUUUGAGCUGAUGACAAACUCCCUGAUACCUGUAAUUAUUCAAGGAAAGUUACAUUUUCUGCCUGUUCUGUGGUAGCUCUGGUCUUCUAUUGCAGGAAGAGCUUGCCUGAUGUCCAAGAUUUACGGUUAUGGUAAAAGAUUAAUAGAAGUAGUUGAAAAUUUUUAUUUAAAUUAUUUUUCAAUUUUAUUUUAAAUAAUAUAAAAUGAACUCCUAUAGAGUAUUUGAGUCGUGAACAUGCAAACUGAAUAAUCAUGAAUAUUUUAAAGUUGAAGCUGCUAUAAAAGGAAACAGAAGUCCU
rnacentral:misc_RNA from 1 species